rnacentral:rRNA from 1 species
GUUUGACGUUAGCAACAGAAGAAGCACCGGCUAACUCCGUGCCAGCAGCCGCGGUAAUACGGAGGGUGCGAGCGUUAAUCGGAAUUACUGGGCGUAAAGCGCAUGCAGGUGGUCUGUUAAGCAAGAUGUGAAAGCCCGGGGCUCAACCUCGGAACAGCAUUUUGAACUGGCAGACUAGAGUACUGUAGAGGGGGGUAGAAUUUCAGGUGUAGCGGUGAAAUGCGUAGAGAUCUGAAGGAAUACCGGUGGCGAAGGCGGCCCCCUGGACAGAUACUGACACUCAGAUGCGAAAGCGUGGGGAGCAAACAGGAUUAGAUACCCUGGUAGUCCACGCCGUAAACGAUGUCUACUUGGAGGUUGUGGCCUUGAGCCGUGGCUUUCGGAGCUAACGCGUUAAGUAGACCGCCUGGGGAGUACGGUCGCAAGAUUAAAACUCAAAUGAAUUGACGGGGGCCCGCACAAGCGGUGGAGCAUGUGGUUUAAUUCGAUGCAACGCGAAGAACCUUACCUACUCUUGACAUCCAGAGAACUUUCCAGAGAUGGAUUGGUGCCUUCGGGAACUCUGAGACAGGUGCUGCAUGGCUGUCGUCAGCUCGUGUUGUGAAAUGUUGGGUUA